CAGUUUCAUUAUUAGUCUUCGCACAUAAAAUAUCUCUGAGUCUAAAAUCAUGAACUCUGCAGUUUUCAGAAGCAGCUUCUCUGCAGCGGCCGCAGGAUGGAAAUGCUCGGCUUUCCUCUAACGACGAAUGAUGAGAAGUAUAAACUCCACCAGGUGGCCAGACAGCAUGCUGGACAGAGCAGACCGGCUGCAGAUAAAUCUUACAACUGACUGACCCAAAAGAGUGUCGACGCAGUUUUCAGGAACCUGAGAAAAACAAAGCCUCAGUGAAGUGAGAUGUAAAGGGGGUAUUAAACAAGCAAAUAUGAAAGUGUUUAAAGAAAAUGUGAAGUGGGAGUGUUUCUUUACUGCAGUUAUGGCAUUAGGAAAACUGA